rnacentral:rRNA from 1 species
UAAUACCUAGGAAUCUGCCUGGUAGUGGGGGAUAACGUUCGGAAACGGACGCUAAUACCGCAUACGUCCUACGGGAGAAAGCAGGGGACCUUCGGGCCUUGCGCUAUCAGAUGAGCCUAGGUCGGAUUAGCUAGUUGGUGAGGUAAUGGCUCACCAAGGCUACGAUCCGUAACUGGUCUGAGAGGAUGAUCAGUCACACUGGAACUGAGACACGGUCCAGACUCCUACGGGAGGCAGCAGUGGGGAAUAUUGGACAAUGGGCGAAAGCCUGAUCCAGCCAUGCCGCGUGUGUGAAGAAGGUCUUCGGAUUGUAAAGCACUUUAAGUUGGGAGGAAGGGCAUUAACCUAAUACGUUGGUGUCUUGACGUUACCGACAGAAUAAGCACCGGCUAACUCUGUGCC